GCCAGUGUGGUGUAGUGGUUAAGAGCAGUGGACUCGUAAUCUGGUGAACCGGGUUCACUUCCCCGCUCCUCCACAUGCAGCUGCUGGGUGACCUUGGGCCAGUCACACUUCUUUGAAGUCUCUCAGCCCCACUCACCUCACAGAGUGUUUGUUGUGGGGGAGGAAGGGAAAGGAGAAUGUUAGCCACUUUGAGACUCCUUAAAGGGAGUGAAAGGCAGGAUAUCAAAUCCAAACUCUUCUUCUUCUUCUUCCCU